rnacentral:lncRNA from 1 species
UGAUAUUUCCUGAAAACUUGCAAUUAUUAUAAAAUCAUUUUAAAACCCUGUGUUACUUAAGUCAAUAUGGAAUAUGUGAUGGUAGAAUAUGAGUUUCUUAUUCUUGAUAUCGUUGCUACUUGGAGAAUUUAUUUCAAAAUAUUCAAAAUUCUAGCUACCAUCCUCAGUGUUUUAUAUGCCUGAUAAAACUAAAAAUAUUAAUUAUGAUGAUAAAAGCUAUCUACUCUGUAUUGAGUUUGUUCAAAAUGAGUUAGACCCUUGUUGAGAGAUUUAUCAUGCUCCUAAGAUCAAGAUAUUUAUUCAGAAAGAUUCACUCUUCCGAAGUAUUAUUGCAUUAGAGGCAUGGGCUAUGCAAAAAUAGAGAUAUUUCGAGGAAAUAAAAAGGAGCAAGUGCUCGACAACCUCGCAGAAAAAAUGGACAAGUGUCCAAUAGUAGAAUUAGUGAUACCUCGGUAUCCACUUAAAAAAAAGAAGAAGAAAAAGAGAAAAUGAUAGCCCAUGGUCCCUCUAAUAAGCAAUAUGCCAGCUAGAGUUGACAAAGAUUUUAAUUUCCAAUGUCUUUGAUCUGAGAGUAUGACAUUCCCCUCCUCGGAUCCUGUUUUGAUCAGGCAAUAAAUGCAAAGUAAGUAUGCUUGAGAAUUUUUGCAAAUUAAAACAGCCCCAGUGAGAUAUAUAAAAGAUAAUGAGUGAUCUGAGAAGAACCUAUGAGGAUAAAAAGGUAUGCUAACUUUCUUUCAAAAAUAUACAAAAACUCCAAGUGACAGGAUUGAGAAGAAAGGAUAUUUACUCUUAACCAUAUACUUCCCUGACUAUGGUACACAGUGGAAUUUUAACACCCUGUAAUUAUAAAAAGAAUGUUUUAAAUGUUUACCCC